rnacentral:lncRNA from 9 species
UGUUUUGUGGAGGAGGCUGGCAUCAAGCUGGGUCCUGUCGGUAAUGUGAACAGAACCAAAUGGUUUACUUUUGCUUAAGCGCACACGAAGUGGCAAAUCUUCUUUUUUAAGAAGAAAUAACGGUCCAUCUGGGGAGAAAUGCGGACCUGGCUUCAGAGGGUUAGUCUGGAGCCUGACGGAAAUAGAACAAACCUGUCGCAGGGCAGAGCUCUAGCUUCAGCCAGUUCUCGGUUCGGGGCUCAGUUAAUGCCUCCCGUGCGGGGCUCGCUUUCUUUCUCCCUUGAGGGACUCACUGUCUCCCUGAGGGCAGAACGAGCUGCUCUUAUUCGCUCUCAGACCCUUUCGCCUGAGGCCGAUGCAGGGGACCCCGAAGCUUCUGGAGCAGGGGUCUCCGUGUGCAAUUUCCCUUCCAUUUCAAAUUUGUCCCUCUUCACAGAGGAGCCCACUGGGGCUCAGAGAGCUGACUUUCCCAAGGGCAUAGCACGGGGCAGUGUUGACAUUCAAACCCAGGGCUCUCUGACUCCAUCCCCCAGGUGCCCUCUGUGAGAUGCGUCUCUGUGGGUCCUCUGCUUCAGGCUCGGGAGGGACUCUGAAGUUGGCCGGGGAUGGGGGCCUGAGGCAAGGAGCCCUAGGGUCCUGCAAACAGAGCCAAAGGGUUUCCCUUAACCCUGAGCCACCUCUGUGUUUCUUCCAGGUCCCCUGGGACCUCUGCUGGCCCCCACUUGUCCCUCCAUAUGUUGUUCCUCUGUCCAGGCCUCAAAGCUACUCCUGGAAGAAAACUUCUUUAUAGCCAAAUGGAUUAAGUUUGGUUCCACAAGCUUAUUAUACCAGCUCAUCUCCAAAUGACCCAGCCCCUGGGUCUUUAAAAAUACCCCCCAACCCCGGCUGAAUGGCAUCUCUGUUUGGAAAAAAGAAAAUGAAACAGCUUUGGGGACACAUUUUGCUCAUUCCUACCCCAUCAGAGAAGAAGCAAGAAGUUUUUUCGGGUUUUUUUUUUUUUCUUUUUUCCCAGGGCCCCAUCCGAGGCACAUGGAGGUUCCCAGGCUAGGGGUCUAAUUGGAACUAUAGCCGCUGGCCUACACCACAGCCACAGCCACACGGGAUCCUUAACCCACUGAGCGAGGCCAGGGAUCGAACCCUCAACCUCAUGGUUCCUAGUUGGAUUCGUUAACCACUGAGCCACAACGGGAAUGCCAAAGCAAGAGGUUUUAUAUACAUAGAGAAUGGGAAACUGUAUCUCAGAAAAAAACCAAGCGUUCAGAGAUAAGCAGGGGGCGGAGGGCAAUGGGGGCAGGAGAGUUAGUGUCAAGAAAAGGAGACAAUCACAGGGGUGGGAGAAGGAUGGGAAAUGGACAAAAGCCAGCAAACGUUUUCCUCUCCUCAAGUUACAUCGGCAUUUGUGAUUGUAAGGUGCCUGGGAUCUGGGAAGCAGAUCUUAAACGUUCCUCUCUGGAAAGAUGAUAGAUAUGGAUGGAGUAUUUUAGUAAUGAGUCAUGAGCAAGAAAACCUGAAAGAAAUCCCUUCUGAGGCAAGAGCAGCUGGGCCCUAAGCCAUUUUUUGGUUGGAAGUUAAAGUGUUCGUUGGAGCCCCAUGGGGAAAAAGACCCCAACCAUCAAUUGGCGUCGCUCAAGGACCUGGAUCGCUGCUGCUGGGGUUGAGGAGUGACUGUGGCCUUGUUUAACAAGCACACAAGGAAGCCGACACUUCCAUAAUCUGCAGGCAUUUAAAUCGGUAGAACGCUCAGAAGUUUGCAAAAUGCCUUUACAUCAUUGCACUUAACCUUGCCAGCUAGGCAGGACAAGUGUGGCAAUGAGCGUUUUGCAAAUGAGAAUAUGGGCUCAGGUCAAUGGAGUGACAUGCAGCUCAUGCGGCUUGGAAGGGGUGGGGCCAGGGGAGAACCGCAGAUUUCAGGUCUCAUUCCCUCCAGACUAUUACAGGUCUCUUUCCCUACAGACUAUUACAGGUUUCCCCCUGGGGCUGGGCUUACAGAUCCCUUCUCCUGGAGAAUGGAUACGUCAAGGAAAAUUGAGUUUUUGUUAGCAAGGAAGAAGGGGGCAGAUGGUGAUGAACUGACAGCCAGCAGAUGCCCACCACACGCUCAGUCAGUCCUGUACCGAGAGACCUUAGGUUGUUUCCAGUUUUCUGUUUGUGCACAUGGUACUGCAGUCAACAGCCUUGUAUAUGUGUAUUAUUGCUAUCACUGUUUUCUUUUGUGUAGGUUAGAUUUCCCAAAGUGAGACUGCUGGUACCAAGGGCAUGUGCCUUUUAAGUUUUAAUAUGUACUGCCUGAUUUUUUUUUUUUUUUUUUUUUUUUUUUGUCUUUUUAGGGCUGCACCCAUGACAUAAGGAGUUUCCCAGGCUAGGGGUCAAAUCAGAGCUACAUACAGCUGCCAGUCUACACCAUAGCCAUAGCAACUCAGGAUCCGGGCCGCUUCUGCGACCUACACGGGCCGCUUCUGCGACCUACACCACAUCUCAUGGCAACACCGGAUCCUUAACCCACUGAGCGAGGCUAAGGAUUGAACCCCGAGUCCUCAUGGAUCCUAGUCGGGUUUGUUAACCACUGAGCCAUGACGGGAACUCCAUGUACUGCCUGAUUCUUGCCAAAAAUGCUGUGGUGUCCACCUCCCCCAGUAAUGGGUGGAAAAGCCAGUCUCCCCACAUCCUCUGCAACUUCCAGUUUAUUUUCUUUCCACUGUAGUCCAGCAUCACCCUUUCGGGGAGCAUUUGCUGAU